UCACUUUUCCAUUCCAACUGAAACGCAUUUCAUUUCACCUCUCUCACGUUAUUCUUCCGUUUCUUUUCUCACCCCUUUAUCAUUCGGAUCCUUCUCCUUCUCUGAAGCUCCAUAACAAAAAAACAUACGACUAAGAUUCACCAGAGCAGAGCCGUGCGAGAGAGAGAGGGUCCAGCCGAAGAGAUGAGGUCGUGCGGCACUGGGUGAGACAGCGGAGGAGCUCCGAUCUGGUGCGACCCGCCGCUGUUUCGACGGCAAAAGUUGGUGUGCUUGGUCUGUAGAAAAAGGAAUGAACGAACGAAAUGGAAGAUAGGAAUGCUCACACCUGCGAUGAAGAUGGCGUUGUUGUGAUAAGUCUGCAGAGAGGGUGCGAAAUUGAAUGAGUGUGCAGAGAGGGUGAGAAACGUGAAAGACAUAAAUCAAAUUGGAAAUUGGAGAGUUCCUAUGGUUUUUUGUUUCGGACGGUGAGGUGGGUAUGAUCAAUUUCCUUCUUUUCUGAAAGCUGCAAAGUCAUUUCAACCAAUGCCCCCUAUAACAUCGCCGGAUACCGUUAACGAUUUCGCCAGUUAUUCCGCUGCAAUUGGGAAUCACUCUAAGAACCAACACAGUAUGUUCUGUCGCUUAUGUUACGGGCACCACUGAUUCCGUCUUGGAUUUUUUGCUCCUCCACUUUUGUGCGCCUUGGCUGGGCUCAUCUGUGUGUUAGUGUGUUCUGUGACAGCAACACAAGAGGUAUCACCACAGCUUUUCCUGUUAAGCGCCUCUUCUGUAAGGUUUGUUGUUGCAGACCAAGCUUCCUUUACAAUUUACAUUUCUGAUGGCAUCCAUUACCUUGAAUAAUUUAAUAUACAGAUGUAAGAAGUGCAAAAAUAUGGUCCAUAAGGUGUGUGCAUAGUUCAUUAUUUGUCAAAUCUUACCUUCCAUAACCCAUCACUGGCUAAUAUAACAAACUCUGCAUCAUCAUCUAUCAGCUCCACUACCAUAUAUAUGGUUCUGAGCUCAAGUGUUUCUUUAGGCUCAAGUGUGGUUUUGAGCUCAGUUUCAACAUAUGCUCUCUUCACUACAUCUCCAAGUUCAGUCCAAGAGUCAGGCUACAUUAUGAAAAAAGAAAGAUGAAAACUCAACAAACACCGGCAAUUUAUCCACCCAUGUUAGCUUCGGGACUAUUUAAGCAAGGUACUAAUAGCUCUACCCAUAUUUGUUGUUAUUAUAGUUUCAGUUUUCUAAUUGCCAUUUUCAAAUUUUGGAAAGUAUGAAAAAGUAUAAGUUGAAAUUGUCUAACACUGUUCUGUCAUCUUCUAUGUCUCUGUAGCAUUUUGAUUAACUACAAUUGAAUCACUUUUGCUGGUCCGGGGUUGACCAAGUUCAAGUCAUGGCUAUUUGGGCUUAUGGUUUAUUUGGUGUUGAACUAUUCUCAUUGUAGUGUGGUUCUAAAUAUGUCUCAGAUUUUUUUAUAAUGGCAAAGCUGUGAAGUUCUAAAUAUCUUUCUCUAUUAAUUAUAUUCCCUUUCAGCUAUAUUUAAAGACUUGAUAGUAUCAUUUUCAUUUUUAUCUUAUUCUAGGAAACCCAUUCGAGAAAGUGACUUUGAAUCUGCUACAGAGAAAAGCCAGCAGUCGCCAUUGUCAUGAAAGAAAAGAAAAGGGAUGCUUCUAAGGUAACAUGAACUUGCCACUUCAUUCAAGUACAGUUGUUUAUUGUAUUUCAUAUUGGCUUAGGAUGUGCUAUUAUUGGUUCUCCAUUUAAAUAGACUCAAACAUUCAAUCAAAUAGAGGUACUCAAACUUUCAAUCAAGAAUGGGAAGAACAUGUGAAUUUCGCCUCUGCAUUGGCUAGCAAUUCAUUCCAAGAAUAGCUUCCUUCAACUACUCUCAGAACCGAGGGAAGUGGAACUAUUAUGCUCAAAACUACCAGCAAUCCAAUAGCACUUUCUCAUGAUGGUGCAAAUACUAAAGGGUUCUAAAUUUGAUAACAUUUCUUUGCUUUUUUCUGUUCCUCUUUUCUUUUUAAGUUGGGAGCUAGGUCUAUGUAAAUCACAUUCCUUUUUCAUUGCAAAUGAAUUGCACCUGAUGCAGAUUUCAGUUUGGAUUUCUAUUUGUUAGUUAGCUUAUGAAGGAAAUAUUCUUUGUCAUUUGUA